rnacentral:rRNA from 1 species
AUUGAACGCUGGCGGCAGGCCUAACACAUGCAAGUCGAGCGGGGGAAGGUAGCUUGCUACUGGACCUAGCGGCGGACGGGUGAGUAAUGCUUAGGAAUCUGCCUAUUAGUGGGGGACAACAUCUCGAAAGGGAUGCUAAUACCGCAUACGUCCUACGGGAGAAAGCAGGGGAUCUUCGGACCUUGCGCUAAUAGAUGAGCCUAAGUCGGAUUAGCUAGUUGGUGGGGUAAAGGCCUACCAAGGCGACGAUCUGUAGCGGGUCUGAGAGGAUGAUCCGCCACAAUGGGACUGAGAAACGGCCCAGACUCCUACGGGAGGCAGCAGUGGGGAAUAUUGGACAAUGGGGGGAACCCUGAUCCAGCCAUGCCGCGUGUGUGAAGAAGGCCUUAUGGUUGUAAAGCACUUUAAGCGAGGAGGAGGCUACUUUAGUUAAUACCUAGAGAUAGUGGACGUUACUCGCAGAAUAAGCACCGGCUAAUUCUGUGCCAGCAGCCGCGGUAA